rnacentral:rRNA from 1 species
ACGAACGCUGGCGGCGUGGAUAAGACAUGCAAGUCGAACGAGAGAAUUGCUAGCUUGCUAAUAAUUCUCUAGUGGCGCACGGGUGAGUAACACGUGAGUAACCUGCCCCCGAGAGCGGGAUAGCCCUGGGAAACUGGGAUUAAUACCGCAUAGUAUCGAAAGAUUAAAGCAGCAAUGCGCUUGGGGAUGGGCUCGCGGCCUAUUAGUUAGUUGGUGAGGUAACGGCUCACCAAGGCGAUGACGGGUAGCCGGUCUGAGAGGAUGUCCGGCCACACUGGAACUGAGACACGGUCCAGACACCUACGGGUGGCAGCAGUCGAGAAUCAUUCACAAUGGGGGAAACCCUGAUGGUGUGACGCCGCGUGGGGGAAUGAAGGUCUUCGGAUUGUAAACCCCUGUCAUGUGGGAGCAAAUUAAAAAGAUAGUACCACAAGAGGAAGAGACGGCUAACUCUGUGCCAGCAGCCGCGGUAAUACAGAGGUCUCAAGCGUUGUUCGGAAUCACUGGGCGUAAAGCGUGCGUAGGCUGUUUCGUAAGUCGUGUGUGAAAGGCGCGGGCUCAACCCGCGGACGGCACAUGAUACUGCGAGACUAGAGUAAUGGAGGGGGAACCGGAAUUCUCGGUGUAGCAGUGAAAUGCGUAGAUAUCGAGAGGAACACUCGUGGCGAAGGCGGGUUCCUGGACAUUAACUGACGCUGAGGCACGAAGGCCAGGGGAGCGAAAGGGAUUAGAUACCCCUGUAGCCCUGGCAGUAAACGGUGCACGCUUGGUGUGCGGGGAAUCGACCCCCUGCGUGCCGGAGCUAACGCGUUAAGCGUGCCGCCUGGGGAGUACGGUCGCAAGAUUAAAACUCAAAGAAAUUGACGGGGACCCGCACAAGCGGUGGAGUAUGUGGCUUAAUUCGAUGCAACGCGAAGAACCUUACCUGGGCUUGACAUGUAAUGAACAACAUGUGAAAGCAUGCGACUCUUCGGAGGCGUUACACAGGUGCUGCAUGGCCGUCGUCAGCUCGUGUCGUGAGAUGUUUGGUUAAGUCCAGCAACGAGCGCAACCCCUGUUGCCAGUUACCAGCACGUGAAGGUGGGGACUCUGGCGAGACUGCCCAGAUCAACUGGGAGGAAGGUGGGGACGACGUCAGGUCAGUAUGGCCCUUAUGCCCAGGGCUGCACACGUACUACAAUGCCCAGUACAGAGGGGGCCGAAGCCGCGAGGCGGAGGAAAUCCUGAAAACUGGGCCCAGUUCGGACUGUAGGCUGCAACCCGCCUACACGAAGCCGGAAUCGCUAGUAAUGGCGCAUCAGCUACGGCGCCGUGAAUACGUUCCCGGGUCUUGUACACACCGCCCGUCACAUCAUGGAAGCCGGUCGCACCCGAAGUAUCUGAAGCCAACCGCAAGGAGGCAGGGUCCUAAGGUGAGACUGGUAACUGGGAUG